rnacentral:rRNA from 1 species
GUCGAACGGAUCCUUCGGGAUUAGUGGCGGACGGGUGAGUAACACGUGGGAACGUGCCCUUUGGUUCGGAACAACUCAGGGAAACUUGAGCUAAUACCGGAUAAGCCUUUCGAGGGAAAGAUUUAUCGCCAUUGGAGCGGCCCGCGUAGGAUUAGCUAGUUGGUGGGGUAAAGGCCCACCAAGGCUACGAUCCUUAGCUGGUCUGAGAGGAUGAUCAGCCACAUUGGGACUGAGACACGGCCCAAACUCCUACGGGAGGCAGCAGUGGGGAAUCUUGCGCAAUGGGCGAAAGCCUGACGCAGCCAUGCCGCGUGAAUGAUGAAGGUCUUAGGAUUGUAAAAUUCUUUCACCGGGGACGAUAAUGACGGUACCCGGAGAAGAAGCCCCGGCUAACUUCGUGCCAGCAGCCGCGGUAAUACGAAGGGGGCUAGCGUUGCUCGGAAUUACUGGGCGUAAAGGGAGCGUAGGCGGAUAGUUUAGUCAGAGGUGAAAGCCCAGGGCUCAACCUUGGAAUUGCCUUUGAUACUGGCUAUCUUGAGUACGGAAGAGGUAUGUGGAACUCCGAGUGUAGAGGUGAAAUUCGUAGAUAUUCGGAAGAACACCAGUGGCGAAGGCGACAUACUGGUCCGUUACUGACGCUGAGGCUCGAA